rnacentral:rRNA from 1 species
GAAACCGAGUCUUAACCGGGCGUUAAGUUGCAGGGUAUAGACCCGAAACCCGGUGAUCUAGCCAUGGGCAGGUUGAAGGUUGGGUAACACUAACUGGAGGACCGAACCGACUAAUGUUGAAAAAUUAGCGGAUGACCUGUGGCUGGGGGUGAAAGGCCAAUCAAACCGGGAGAUAGCUGGUUCUCCCCGAAAGCUAUUUAGGUAGCGCCUCGUGAAUUCAUCUCCGGGGGUAGAGCACUGUUUCGGCUAGGGGGCCAUCCCGGCUUACCAACCCGAUGCAAACUGCGAAUACCGGAGAAUGUUAUCACGGGAGACACACGGCGGGUGCUAACGUCCGUCGUGAAGAGGGAAACAACCCAGACCGCCAGCUAAGGUCCCAAAGUCAUGGUUAAGUGGGAAACGAUGUGGGAAGGCCCAGACAGCCAGGAUGUUGGCUUAGAAGCAGCCAUCAUUUAAAGAAAGCGUAAUAGCUCACUGGUCGAGUCGGCCUGCGCGGAA